GGAGAGGUGGCAGAGUGGUCGAAUGCGGCGGUCUUGAAAACCGUUGUACCGCAAGGUACCGGGGGUUCGAAUCCCUCCCUCUCCG
rnacentral:tRNA from 1 species